rnacentral:rRNA from 1 species
UACGGAGGGUGCAAGCGUUGUCCGGAAUCACUGGGCGUAAAGGGCGCGUAGGCGGCUCGGUAAGUAGGGGGUGAAAUCCUGCGGCUCAACCGCAGGGCUGCCUUCUAAACUGUCGAGCUCGAGCACGGUAGAGGCAGAUGGAAUUCCCGGUGUAGCGGUGGAAUGCGUAGAGAUCGGGAAGAACAUCAGUGGCGAAGGCGAAUCUCUGGACAGUUACUGACACUGAGGCACGAAGGCCAGGGGAGCAAACGGG